GAGUGAACAAAGAAAAAUGAAUUCUAAUAACUCAGAUCUCUCUCUCUGCCACUCCAGUGUAGCAGCUGCUAGCAGCCGAUCUUCACUGUGCUGAAAUCUUUAAAACCAACUGCAUGGAGUUGGAAAGACAAACUACAAGCUAGUCUUUCGCAGCUGCAGGAGCUGUGACAGUGGACAACCUUGGACAUAACAUGUUGUGCCGUUGGGAGUCAGAGACUUAAAGUUUGGUGCUUAGAUGAAUGGACAGAAAUGCAAUACAGGCUUUGUGGCUGUUUGGAAAAGCACAGGGCCAUACUGCUCUUCACUCUCAUCAGCAACUCGUGAGAAGAGGGCUCUGCACGUCUUUGCUAGAACAAGAUGACUGUGUGGAAUCAAAGAAUGAAGGAACCAGUGAUGGACUGGAGAACGAGGCAGAGAAACAGAAAGAAAAAUGGCAGACUUCACAUUGUAAAAGCCUUUGUCAACUACAGUUUGGCCUUUACCCUGAGCAGAGCAACCCUAUGAUCCUAUUUGUAUGUUAAAAAAAACAAAACAAAACAAAACUCAAACCUUCGGCUGGGUGAAGAGUCUACAGGAGAAGGGAAAUACUUUGUUACAGGGGAGUGGGGGAGAUAGGAGGUUGAAUGAAGAUACAGGCUAGGGUGGUGCUGGAGAGGAAGUGAGUUAGGGAGAGAUCCAGCAGUCACAAUGACAAUAGAAGAUUUGUUGGGUGGAAAGAGGAGAAAGAAGUCUGGAAUGUGUCUCUUUGGUUUGAAUAGAAGAGAGGUAACUAUAAUGAAGGUGGCUUUUUAAACUUGGAUUUGACCGUGGGUCAGUGUUCAUUCUGUGACGACCUGAGUUAGGUUUCUCUAUAUUCACUGGAUCCAGGAGGUGUGGCUCUAUCUGGGGUGCUGUAGCAGAGCUGAUGAGAUGCCAGUGUCUGCGAGUAGAACCCCCUCUGAAGACCAGUUGGCCAGCAGCACAGCUUUGGGAAUGACUAACUUUCCCAGGAUAUCUGAUAGGGUGUGCUCAGUGUCAUGUAACCACUGACAAUAAAUGGGAUUUUGGUCUUUGAAGGCAAAAAUCCUCAUCUUGACAUCUUCUUUCAUGCCCAAGCACCUGCACACCGCGGAGUGUACAAUCUCCAAUAGUUAUCACAGAGAGAGAUUAUGAAAGAAAAUCUAAGGUCAGGCGUGGGGGUCCAUGCCUUUAAUCCCAGCGCUCAAGAGGCAGGGGUAGGCAAGCUCUGUGAAUUUGAGGCCAGCCUUGUCUGUAAAAUGGGUUCCAGGAUAGCCAAGGCUUAUACAGAGGUUUAUACAGAGAAACUAUGUCUUGAAAAACCACCACCACCAAACAAAAAGAGAAGAAAAAAGAAAAGAAAAGAAAAGAAAAGAAAA